rnacentral:rRNA from 1 species
UACGGGGGGCGCAAGCGUUGUUCGGAUUUACUGGGCGUAAAGGGCGCGUAGGCGGCCACCGCAAGUCGACUGUGAAAUCUCCGGGCUUAAUCCGGAAAGGUCAGCCGAUACUGCGGGGCUAGAGUGCAGAAGGGGCAACUGGAAUUCUCGGUGUAGCGGUGAAAUGCGUAGAUAUCGAGAGGAACACCUGCGGCGAAGGCGGGUUGCUGGGCUGACACUGACGCUGAGGCGCGAAAGCUAGGGGAGCGAACGGG